ACCGCUUCUUCUUAUCCUUGAAUGCUUCCAAUUUAAUUGAUACUACUCUUUCUUGGCUGAAAAUAUUUCUUCAACUGCAGUCACAAAUGUCAAAUACAUCGGCAUUAGAUUCGACUGUUACAAUUGAAAAAUAUGUGUAUCCUGAUCGUUCUAGAUUCGGAGGAUCAAGUGUCAAGGCUAAAAUAUCCACAAAAUUUAGCAGAAACUCAAAACCUGCGUAUCAAAACCGAGAAAUCAUCACAUCGCUUGAGCAUAUAGAAACAGACAGAUUAUAUCAACAAUCACACAUCCAAAUAAUAAUCAACAAAUAUCAGGAGAGAGAGAGAGAGGAAGGAAUUAUAACGAAUGAAAUGAGUACCUCAGCAGAACUGCCGCGGAUUUCACGGAGGAAGACUUUGUCGAGGCCAUUGUACCCUUUCGAUCGAAAUCAAUUACGGCGUCCAGAAUUUAGAACUGGUAACAGAUAAAAAAACCCAGAAAUUAGCAAAAUCAAAAUAGCAAAACAAAUUAAUGCAAUCUUCGAAACCAUUUACAGGGAUACCAUAUAUGUAUGUGUGUGAGAGAGAAAACAAUAUGUUUCGAUUUCAGCCGGCUUUGGGUUUGGAAAAACAAUAUGUUUUCAGGGUUUGGAUCGGCUUUGGGUUUAGAUCUUCUAAUUUGGUCUGUACCUCCGAUUUUUCGGUCAGAUUCCGGCCGUCGACUUCGCUAAUCGGCUUUUCUUCCGAAGGCAGCAGCUCUGGUAACAGAAAAAAUUUGGGGGAAUCGACGCUGCGAUCCAUAACCGGCUAUUUGAAGGGUAUUUUUGUCAAGGCCAAUAUAGAGCGGUAUGUAAGAUGGACCGGUGUUAAAAUUGUAGAAAGACAGAUGUCAACUUAUUAUAUCAUGUACUGUGAUUUAAUAUAUAUAAUACAUAAUAAAAUGUUUAAGAUACUCAUAAUUACUAAUAAUGGCC
rnacentral:lncRNA from 1 species